rnacentral:rRNA from 1 species
UACGAAGGGGGCUAGCGUUGCUCGGAAUGACUGGGCGUAAAGGGCGCGUAGGCGGUUUGCACAGUCAGAUGUGAAAUCCCUGGGCUCAACCUGGGGGCUGCAUUUGAUACGUGUAGACUUGAGUGGGGAAGAGGGUCGUGGAAUUCCCAGUGUAGAGGUGAAAUUCGUAGAUAUCAAGCGGAACACCGGUGGCGAAGGCGGCCUUCUGGACAGUGACUGACGCUGAGACGCGAAAGCGUGGGGGGCGAACAGG